AUUGUUACAAGUUUCUUGCUCCUUUUGAAAGAAUCUGUGACUAAAUUUUUAAGAGAUACACAUUUAUUAAACUCUUAUGCAUGAGGUGCUGUGCUAAGGACUAGGGAGACAAAAACAGGAGGCCUUACUUCAACCUUCCAUUAUGAUGAAGAAAACAGACAAAAGGGGUGGGAUGGGAGGAGAGGGACAAGGAAAAGUUUUUUGGAAAAAGGUAAUUUUUAUACUGAAUCUUAAAGGAAGACAGGCUAUGAGGAAGAACACUUUUGGCUUUGGGAGUUGGAAUGGUCAUGAAUAAAGCACAGCUGAAAGCAAGAGCUGUUGUAUCAGAUUAUAUGGAAGGGGAAGCAAAUAUAAGAAAAUUGUAAUGUGGUAGGAUGGGGUCAGCCAAAAUGAGGACAAUAAUGGCAUGUCCCAAAAGUCUUAGAACCAUUUUAAAUUAUUAAAGUUUUAAGCUACUAAAACAUAAAGCUGCAUUAAGAUCUACAGAAUGUCCCAAAUUCUGAGAUUCAAACUUAUUGCAAUAAUGUAUCUAUGGGAACUGAAAUCAAGUGAAAAGUAUAGAAAAGAAUGCUAAGGGAAGACUCUUGAGUGAGUAGCUAAUACGUGCAGCUCAGGUAAAGACUACCUAAAGAGGUGAAAACUAAAUAAUAGUUGGAACAGGACAGGAGUAUUAGCUGGGCUGAUUAAGUAUAACAGUUAUUAAGGUAGGUAAGGGGAAAAAAAAACAAAACCAAAACUCUGUGCUUGCAUGAGACCAAUCGAAUGUAUCCAGGCUUCUGAGACUUUCCUAUUUAGUGACCUGAUUAGUUUUUGGUAAUCCAGGACCAAAUGUUCCAGAAAAAAGCAGGAAAUAUAUUAGCAUGCUUUUGUUUCUGAAUUUAAUGAGAUCCUGCAAGUUCUUUUAGUGUCAUGCUAAAUAAAAACUUGUUUUCUACCUAGAAGUUAUUCUGAAUGUUGAAACAUUCAUUGAAUAUUGAAUCUGGAGUCAAAACCUGGAUUCAAAUCCUGUCUCUAAUGCUUUCUACCUAAGUCACUCAAUUUUCUUGGGCUUCAGUUUCCUUUCUGCCAAAUGAAUGAUAGGUGUUUCUGAGCUCUGUUCUGAAUCCAACAUUUUGUGUGUAUUAUACACUAAAAACUUAUAUAGGAGUUGACUUUAUGGUAAAAGGAUGGGUGGUGGGGGAGAAGGAAUGAAGAAGGGGAAGGGGGAAAAUCUGAUAAAGUUUAUAAAAAUAAAAAAUGAGGCUUUCAACAAAAUAAUCCUGCAAAGCAGAGGGUAAUAGGGAAAUAAUUCUACUUUGUGUAGAAACAAACACACACACACACACACACACUCUUUCUGAUAAAAAGAACAGAACUAGCUUAAAUUUGAGAAGUAAAAAAAAAAAAAAAAAAAAUUGAGAGAAACCAAAACGGUAAAUUUACUUGGCCAAUAGUAUUAUAUUGUGAAGUCCUUUUCUAACAUUGUAAUAGGGAGCAAAAAAACAAGGGCCCUCUCAAAACCUGAAUGUUUCCAAAGGAUACUGAGGAAACUAGAGGGGAGAAAAAAAGACUUGGGAGUAAGAUUGGUUUCAUUUCAAGAGGUUGAAGAAGGGAGAGAGAAGGGAGGGGUAAAAGUAAUAUAUUAACAUAAGAAGAGUUAGAGGAUAAGGCUUGCUAUUUUUCAAAGCUGGUGUGGGUAAGGAUAUAUAAAUAUAAGGCGAGAAAAGGUGGUGGGAGAAAAAGGUAGUACUUAAAUGUUACUUUUAUCUGAACCAAAAGGAGGAGAAUUGGACACAGUUUAAUGCAGAAACACAAAAUUCAACAAAGGAAACAGUUAAGAAAGGAUGUCAGGAAGAAGAUGGUUAUAAAUAGACUAAACUUACUGGUCUUAAAGAAUGUGUCUAAAGAAAAGGGGAGAGAGGGAAACAAAAACCAGUAACUAAGCAAGUGUUCAUCAAUUCUGGAAGGUCUGGUGCAUUGAUAGAGUUGAAUUUUUUUUAUGCUUAUAGAAGUGACAAAUGACUUAGAGAAUCUUGAGUUAGUACGAACAGAGUAAAAUAAGAGUAAAAACAAAAAAACAAAAAAAUGGAAAAAAAAAAAAACCCAGGAGAAUGAAUUAUGCAAUGACAACAUUUCAGAGAGAAACUAAUUUUGAGUCAAAGCAAUGGACGUCUCCAGACAAUUGGUAGACUUGGGGUAUAAAAUGAGAAACUUUUUAGGCGUGGCUUCUGUGUGGAUUUAUUUCUCAAUUACGCUUCUUAGUAGAGGAUAAGAAAAUGGUUAUCAGUGAUGUACAUUGAAACUUUUUUAUUUAAUGUACAGAGGGAAAAGAUGUUAAGAAAACAUUUUUAAAAAGGCCAUUUUGAAAGUAAUGUGUUGACACUUUCCAGACUCAACACCUGACCUGGACUAUGGUUCUUAAACCACUUUCCAGAUCUAUCUAUUCAUUGCAGUGUGAAGAAAGGCCCUUGGGGAUGAGGCAGGAAGUAGUUGGAGAUUUGGAGUCUUUAAAAACCGUGGCUGGUCCUAAGUAUCUGCUUUUUGUCUUUCUUGUGUCAGUGUCUAUAUGGUAACUAGAUGGACCUCAUGCUUGAACACAUGUUAUCUUUUCAUCAUUGGGGCAUUAUUUGGCUUAUUUUCAAAGUCAGAUUCUGUGAGCAAUGAGGUAGAUUGUUUUUUUGAAAAUUGGAAUCCUUGCUCUUUAUUUUCUUAUACCUCUUUUCAUUUUUCCACAGACUUUCAAACACAGCUGACAGAUCCCUUAAGGAUGGAAUCUAUGCAUGGGUCUCUGAUAUGUUGUGAUAGGGAAUUUGAAUUCUUGAAAAGCAAAGCAACUGAUAUUUUUGACUUUAAGUUCACCCUUUGUAAAAUAAAAGAAGCAAUGAAGAGAACUAUGCUUCUGGACUCUGUUCUGAGCAAUGGAGGAAAAAAAAAUUGCUAAAGUAAACAUGAUGAUGGUCGUUCCUGAGGACUUGGAUGUUAAGAUUACCUAGCACCUUCCUUACCCCAUUGAGCCUAUGCCAGCUACCAUUACCGGUAUGUCUCCAUAAGGAAAGAGGGAGAUAGUGUUGGUCUGUGUAACAACUAGUUUUGUAAGGAGAAAUUGGCAAGUAAACUCAUAUUGGGAACUCAUUGAACAAUGAAAUGCCUCAGAUGGUGAUCCAAGGAUGGGCCUCUGGAAGGAAAGGGCAUUUAAUGGGAAGUCUGCCAUGCCCCACCUCCUUUGCAUGUAAGAGAAGGCUUCUUUUUUC